GAUGAAGAACGUAGCGAAAUGCGAUACGUAAUGUGAAUUGCAAAUUCAGUGAAUCAUCGAGUCUUUGAACGCACAUUGCGCCCCCUGGUAUUCCGGGGGGCAUGCCUGUCCGAGCGUCAUUGCUGCCCUCAAGCACGGCUUGUGUGUUGGGCCCCGUCCUCCGAUCCCGGGGGACGGGCCCGAAAGGCAGCGGCGGCACCGCGUCCGGUCCUCGAGCGUAUGGGGCUUUGUCACCCGCUCUGUAGGCCCGGCCGGCGCUUGCCGAUCAACCCAAAUUUUUUAUCCAGGUUGACCUCGGAUCAGGUAGGGAUACCCGCUGAACUUAAGCAUAUCAAUAAGCGGGAGGA
rnacentral:misc_RNA from 1 species